rnacentral:rRNA from 1 species
CAUCCGCUAGCAGUACACAUGCAGUCGAACGGCAGCACAGGGGAGCUUGCUCCCUGGGUGGCGAGUGGCGGACGGGUGAGGAACACAUCGGAAUCUGCCCAAUCGUGGGGGAUAACCUCGGGAAACCGGGACUAAUACCGCAUACGACCUACGGGUGAAAGCAGGGGACCUUCGGGCCUUGCGCGAUUGGAUGAGCCGAUGUCGGAUUAGCUAGUUGGCGGGGUAAAAGCCCACCAAGGCGACGAUCCGUAGCUGGUCUGAGAGGAUGAUCAGCCACACUGGAACUGAGACACGGUCCAGACUCCUACGGGAGGCAGCAGUGGGGAAUAUUGGACAAUGGGCGCAAGCCUGAUCCAGCCAUGCCGCGUGAGUGAAGAAGGCCCUCGGGUUGUAAAGCUCUUUUGUUGGGAAAGAAAAGCAGCCGGCCAAUACCCGGUUGUUCUGACGGUACCCAAAGAAUAAGCACCGGCUAACUUCGUGCCAGCAGCCGCGGUAAUACGAAGGGUGCAAGCGUUACUCGGAAUUACUGGGCGUAAAGCGUGCGUAGGUGGUUUGUUAAGUCUGAUGUGAAAGCCCUGGGCUCAACCUGGGAAUUGCAUUGGAUACUG